GGUGGGUGAUAGAGCAGAUACCGGAGCUGAGGGUGGGUGAUAGAGCAGAUACCGGAGCUCAGGGUGGGUGAUAGAGCAGAUACCGGAGCUGUGGGUGGGCGAUAGAGCAGAUACCGGAGCUGAGGGUGGCAGAUAGAGCAGAUACCGAAGCUGUGGGUGGGCGAUAGAGCAGAUACCGGAGCUGAGGGUGGGCGAUAGAGCAGAUACCAGAGCUGAGGGUACCUUCGGCCACCUUUCCUUCCAGUUCUCUGCUGCCAAUUACUGGAACAAACUGCAAAAAUCACUGAAGCUGGAGACUCAUAUCUCCC
ensembl:lncRNA